GUAUGACUAUUUUUUGUACGUCGAAAAAAGAUGAAUUUUUCAGAAGAACAAAUUGUUGAAAUUCAGGAAGCCUUUUCGAUAUUUGAUACAGAGAGCAUUGGUGAAAUUAAAUGCAAAGACCUGGAAGUAGCAGUAGGCUUAUUGGGAUUAAACUUUCAAAACGACGAAUUUCAGAAAGACUUGCAAAAAAGCGGUUUAAAAGAUGCCGAAAAGAUUAAUUUUGAGGAUUUUCUUAAAUUUUUAUCAACUAGCCAGAAAGAAAGAAACUUUAAAAAAGAGGCUACAAAAGUUUUUAAGUUAUUUGAUUACGAUGAAAAAGGCUAUAUAUCUAUUGAAAAUUUGCGGAAGAUUGCCAGUGAACUUGGAGAAAGUAUAACAGAGCAAGAACUAAAGGAAAUGAUUGAGGAAGGAGACCGAGAUGGAGAUGGUUUUGUCGGAAAAGAAGAUUUUAUUCAGCUUUUAGAAC